UUCAGAUUUGAGAAGUUAAAUUUUAGACAAGGCCAUGUGGAACUUUACUUCUGCAACAGCAAUGUUAAUUUUAAUAUCAUGUGUGCAUUGUGAUAUUACAUUAACUCAGCCAGAAAGCAAACAAGUAAAUCCUGGGCAGUCUGUAAAGCUGUCCUGUGAAGUGUCAGGAUUUUCAAUGAGUAGCUACUGGUACAUGCACUGGAUCCGACAGCCUGAAGGAAAAGGACUGGAGUGGAUCGGGCAGAUUGAUACUGGCACUGGCACAGUGUACUCACAGAGUUUUCAAAAUCGUUUUUUUAUCACCAAAAAUUCAAACACACUAUACCUUGAAGGAAAAAACCUGCAGCAGCAAGACACGGCCACCUAUUAUUGUGCUAGAGAUUCACAAUGCAAAAAAAUCUGUUUGCUAAGAUGUAUUGAUGAACAUGAACGUUGUCAAACUUAA